CGACGGCCAUAUCACGUUGAAACACCGAUUCUUAUACGAUAACCGAAGUUAAGCAAAGUUGAGCUUAGUGAGUACCUAGAUGGGUGACCACCUGGGAAUACUAGCUGCUGUAAG